CCUGGGCUACAAAGUGAGUUAAAGGCCAGCCUGAGCUGCACAGUAUAACCCUGUCUCAAAAAAAAGUUCACCUCUGACAGGGGGAGAUCUCUGGCAGACCCCUUUCCUGUCCUCGGUCAGGAACACAGGGAAUGGGCUGGAUUAGCUCUUCAGACCCUUCCUAAAGAGGGUUUGUGAACCCUUGCCCAUUUAAGGCCUCUGAUUCCUACGGGAGAGCCUGGGUCUUGUGCACAUGCCUGAAACGCCUUCUCCACUCAAGCUGAGAGGUACACGUGGGCACCCCCAGCCACACUAAUCACAGCCCCAACGCAAGCAUAUUAACGUAUGCUCCACUCAAAGUGCUGGGCGCCCACUUUAGGGGAGAGAUGGGGCCAGGAAACAAGCCAGAUGUUCAACCUCCCAGUUCGGUGUCCAAAGAGCUAGACAUCUGCCCAGAGACAGAACACCCCAUGAAGUCCUAAGGCUGCUCACAUAGGGCAGAGCAGCGAUUCACAGCUAUGAAGGGCACUCCGGGCCCUGCUUGUCUUCCUCCUUUGCUAUACUAUUCCCUGAGCUUCACAGAUGAGCUUGACAUAGACAUCCCAGUCAGCAGUGGUGGGAGGGGACUCAAGGUUUUUGACAGGCCGAGGAAAUGCAGACACCUAAUAUGGCUUCCUUCCGUAGAGGACAGGGAGGCCUCCACCACAUCAUUCCCCUUGCUCCUGUCUCCUCCUUCCAAGAGACAGUGGAUUGACCCACUCACUUCUCUUGUACCUUGAAAGUACAACCCCAAGUUUUACAGAUGAACAGGUGGGGCCCAAGGAAGGCAAAUAACUCGUGCCUAGUCACUACUUCCAGAGCAGCCCCUGCUACAGGGAGGAAACCUAAUGCGAUGACUCUGAGGUGUGCUUCUCUUGGAGUGGGACCUCGGGCUCUUCCACGAGUCUCCUUCUGGACUUGAGUUCUUUAAAUAGCCAACAUGACAAGAAAGCAAAGAAAGGGGAGAAUUUACCGACUCCUGCCCUAUGUCCCUACGUCUCCCCAGUGACAGGGAUCAGAGACGCAGCAGGCCUAAGCCAACAAACACAGCCCUAACCAAAGGCUGCACUCAGCUUCCCAUCACUCCCGACUAAGAACCUUGCUGUGCAUCACUCAUCCCCCUCAGCCUCUCGAGUGCAAAAGCCACCCAUCCCCAUGGGCCCAUGCUGGGGGGGAUUUUCUGCUAUAAAAAGAAGGAAGAUAGAGUGGGCUUUGGCUCCCAAGCCUUGAACGGAAAGUAGGAUUGAAAUUUUACCCACCCUCAUUCCUGGCCCCGGGGACCUGACGUGACAGUGCUGUCCAUGAGGCCAGAAAGAACAGCUGGAUCUCAGUAGGCUGAGGGUUAGAAAACGCAGCACCAGGGAGCCCAGAGCUGGCACCAGGUGCCCCACCCCCGCUGGUAACGAGGCACUCUCCCAGGACAGCCCAGACAUGAGCUCACCAUCCUCACAGCCCCGGGGUGGGGGCAGGAUCCUUCUCCUCAUGGGGCUUUGAGCUGCUUCCUCCCUGCCUGGGGCAGAGGACCAGCCCCUCCCUGCCCACCAGGUGAGCUGUAGAAGAACCAAGAAGGAAAACAGGUGCCUCAAGGUGUCCCUAGGACAGAAAGAAAGUGGACAACAGGAGGCUGCUGUCCUAGGAAGCUCCAACUGUCCCUGUUCACCCAGCCCCUUCCUUGAGGCACAGGGAGGUGGGAAGCAGCUACUCCGGAAGGAGAAGUUGGCUGUCCCUAGGCUGGCGUGUGGAUGGGAAGAGCUGAGGCUCGAGGAAGGCGUGUGGAAGAACAUAUGGGACACUGUCACCAAGGCUGGAUUGUGUGGGGACAGCAGCAGAGCGAGCCUCAGACUGUGAGACGAGGUGGUUGAGGGCGGCCGGCCUGGGUUUCCCCAUAAAACUUCCUCCUCCCACCUCAGCAGGCCUGAGGUCUGACCAAUCAGCCGUCCUUAUCUAGGAAAACUGAGCCAGCUGAAAGGCCCACUUGCCAAUCAACCCUUCUGACAACCUCCCCCUCCCACCACGAGCUUCGAGCUUCGCACUCCUGAGGAUUCUCAACUCCCCCAUCCCUUCGAUCUGCCACUCCAUUCCUGGAGUAAAGCAGGUGACAAAAUA